rnacentral:lncRNA from 1 species
GCUACCUAUUAGCUCGCGCCGCACAAGGCCCCGCAGCGCGAGGCUCGGGCCCGUCCCUAUGUGCAAGAUGUUGCUCGCGCUUGCAAGCUGCCAGUUCAGCAGGCGCGUGCAAGCGCGUCCCACUCCAGGAAAAAGCGUGUCCCAAGGGACGCGCCCACUCGACGGCACCAAAACCCCCUGGACGAUUGUCCCUCAAGGAUGCCACCACGUCUAUGGACUCCUCUCAAUCUCUCAUCGCUACUGCUACUCGCACACAAGAACCCUACCUGCUGCUCUGCUCACCUUCUUAGCAUCCCCAUAAGAACACGUCCUUCCUAUCCUGAGCCUUUGCGGCAUCCUAUGUAGUUAUUGACAGGCACGCUCAAGGAUGCAGGUGCCUUGCCUAUCUCUUGCCCGACUCAUGCCUAUACGCACACACGAGCCCGCCCCCCUCUCGGCAGGACGGUGCUGGAGACAACCCCCCACCCCCACGCACAUCCCCAAACCCCCCACUCACAGGCGCACGGAUGUCCGCGGCGAGGAGCCCGGCCUGACGCGUGUGGCACACCGUGGCGGCCUGCUGCGGCUGGUGGGACUGGAGGGCGCCGGCGGCCACCUGCUCGGCCUGCACGUGAGUACGGGCAGGGCGGCAGUAGCCAGCAGCGGCAGCCCCGCAUGCACCACGCGUCAGGGGAGGCCUCCUUUGUGCACCACCUCUCUCAAUCUCCCACAUACCAGCGGUUUCAUCCGACACGCAUUCAGACUGUCUUGCAGGCUGUGUGCGCAGUGCAUGCGCUUGCACAAGACAGCACCUCCCAACUUCCAUCCUUGUCCUACUUCCAACCUACGCUACCGCGCCACUCUUUGCAGAUUGACGGCAACAUCACCAUGUACCACGGCAACACCGGCGCGGAGGUUGUCAGCCUGCAGGUGCGUGGCCAGCAACCGUACCUAUCUAUCUGUUACAGCGAGGACGUGCGUGCUGCCAGUGCGUGUGUGCGGUUAUACCAGUACAUAAGUACAUUACGUAGUAAUGCGGGCGCUCCAUCUAUCACCAUCCAUUCCCCCGUCCUAUGCAUCCAUGCGCGCGCUAGCCCUACUUCGUUUUUCCCAGCUGAUUUGUUUGGCGGCGGUGCCUGGUCGCGUUGCUUGGCUACAUCCAAUCUGCUUGCUUGGAUUCUGCGUGCGCGCGUGCAGCUGGAGCCGGCGGGCUACGCCAACCAAACUGCACCGCAGCUGCUGUUCGAUGCCGCCCACUCGCAUCUGUUCGUGUCCGUGGCCCGCACCGCGACCGUGCACGCCGUUGAGAUCAAGAUGGCCCAGCCUGCUUCUGCUGCCACUGGGGGCGCCACUGUGGGCACUGCCGGCGCCGUGGAGCUGCGGGUGGUGCGCAGUGUGGUGGUGGGUGCGUGGUAUGCCGGGAGUCAUGGACAUGCCUGGCGUGGCGCCGCCCCCCUCCAGCCACUCCAGCUAGAUAGCGCUAAGGAUGCCCGUAUGGCUCAAUGUCGACAGCAACCAACUACGGUAGUCAACUGCUGGCGAUAAAAGGGAGGACGUGAAGGUUGCUGUGGGCUAGGCUGUAGGAUGGCUAGCUGAUGAUGAAUGGUGGCGAAAGCAAGCGUGCAUGGCUGAUGGAACGAAGAUAGGCAUCUACGGUAGGCAUGUGAUCGAUCAUUGCAACGCAGGAUGUCACACACACACACACACACACACACACACACACACACACACACACACACACACACACACACACACACACACACACACACACACACACACACACACACACACACACACGCACGCACGGUGAUGCAUGUGCAGUACGUCGCAACUGGCAGUUCUUGACUUGUCGAAAGGCGUAAUCAUGUUUUGAGCUGAUGGGCUGCGGAGAGUCGGGGCCCAUGUAAUACACCCACAAAAUAACACCGCAUCGUCUUGAUUGCACUCAGUGCCAUGUCUCUCUCAGCCACGUUGCCGCCUUCAGCGUCCGUUCGCAAACCUGCUUACGCUAUGUCCAGGCAGCAGCAAAACAGAUAUGGGGGAUUGCGGGCCGUACACGUGCGGGUUAGAACUCUGGAUCCAUCUCCCCACAGCCGGCCCGGCGGCGCCCACCAAACGCCGCCCUUUCAAACCAGGUCUGCCCCGCCGCGCCUACCUUGCUUGCGCCGGCGGGCAGGAACUACCCCCAGACUGGUUCCCCACAUGCUCACACUCUCGCCACUAGCCGCCGCUGCUGUAAGGUUGAUCUACAAAUGUACACGCAGACUUCCACCGGCCGUGCGCCGUAAUAAUGUCUUCAAUCGAUAGCCCCGCAUUGGCAGCUGCCGUAGCCCCGCGGCCCCUACGCAGGCUGUGAGCUGAGAAACUAGCCGCGUCCGGCUUUACCUGCGGCCCCUUCCCACACCGCCUGUGGCAGGCUCCAUUCUUAGCCGCCGCGUAAACCACUCCUUCCCCUCCUGCCCCCACCGUGCGCAGCCCCACCGCCGCGAAGAGCGGGUCGCCGUCGCCCGCUCCCGCUGCGUGCCGCCACUGCACGUAUCUGCCCACAAGCAAUACUCCCGAUAGGCGGCACGCGGCUGGCUGUCAUCGCUGCUAGUGCACUGCCGCGCCCACACGCACCCUGCUGGUCCGUGUUGCUGCACUGAAUCUCCAGCCCCGUCCACCGGCCCUUCCGGCUUCUGUUGCCCCACGCCUCCCAGCAGCUGUAGCUAGCGCGGCCAGCAGUUCGCCUCGCCGCAGCAUCCCCCAGAAGCCCAGUGUCAGCCAUCCAGCAAGAGUCGCGGCUGCACAUACACCUCGGCCUGCUGCCGGCGGCUCUGUGCCGCCACCACUGCCAGCCAUCCACGCACCCGACCAGCUGGCGCAGCAUGGCGGGCCGCCGCCGCCGCGCUUUAUCUACUCCUGCAUCAGCCACUCGUGCUGCAGCGCCGCCUCGGCGCUCAGCAGCUGCCGCGUCGCCAGCCGCUGCCGCAGGUCGCAGCCGCUGUCGCUGAGCGAGAAGGGCAGGUAACUCAUCAGCGCCGCCGCCAGCAUGCACAGGUCGGACUGCCGCGUGUAGCGCCCAGUGGCCGGGUCCAGCAGGUGCGCCGCCGGCCACGUGGGCAGCUGGUACGGCGGCGGCUGGCCGCAGUCCAGCGGGAAGUCCGCGGGCGCUGUAGGUGGGGUGUGCGUGUGAGCGAGAAUAAUGUAUGGCGAAGCAAUGCGCGAUGCACAGCGGCGGGUUGAGCAAGCAGCAAGCUUGUCUGCCCGUCUGUCUGGUUUGCUUGCCAGCAGCUAGCUCCGCCUCGCUCAACCCAGCAGCCUAGCUCGCUCGCGCUUUACAGCCUGGGCCGUACGUUCAGCCCGCCCGACAGCAGGGGAGUAGUUGCCUACCUGCGUGCUCCAGGUCAAUGAGCACGUACGUGUCCGCCGCGCCCACAGCCGGUGAGCUGCCACUGGAGGCUGAUGGCGCCGCCGGCUGCUGCGAGGCGGCGGUGGUGAAGGCGGCGGCCGCCGGCAGCCUGAUCACAUUCUGCCACUUGAUGUCGCGGUGCACAAAGCCUGCGGUAGGUAGGCGGUAGCCGCCGCAGCAGGAUGCCACACGCAAGGCACAUAGAGUUACACGCAUGCCGUUACCGCACUGAUUGGUCGCUACAUCCUAGGAUGUAGCCUCGGUGCCUACUACUGUAGUACUACUGUCCAGCGGCACCAUCCAGCCAGCCAGCCAGCGGCGCACGCCGUCCCAUGCAUGUUUCAGUCCCUGCCUGCCGUAUGUACGUGCUCCCAUGAGCAAGUGCGUGCUGCCCCGCCCCUUGCCUGCCUCAUCAUCACCUGCUGCGUGCAGAGCCACCACGCCCGCCAGCACGUUGCGGACCGCCCGCCGCAGGUCGGCCUCGCUCGGCGGCGCGCGCUGCAGUGGCAACCCCACGGGCUCCAGGUACAGCACUACCGUCUUGCCGUCGGGCUGCAGGUGGAUGCCGCCGCUGCCGCCGCCACUGUUGCCGCCGCGGCAGUGCAGGCGGACCAGGUUGGGGCAGCGCACGCCGCCAAGGGCGAGGUACAUGUCCUGCAAGCACGCGCACACACACGCGCGCAAGGUUGGUGGCGGAUGAUGAGGAAAAGAAUGGCAGCUAGGCACGCCUACCCAGCGUUGUCCAGUGGGUAUCCGCGGCGCUGCUGUUUCUGGUCAUUGAUGAUGAGCGGCGCCAGAACCUUGCGUGGCUUGGGGAAGGCAUGCGAACGAGCCUUACGAGCGCUUGACCUGACGAACCCUCGCCCCCGCCCCACGCAUAACGAACAGUGUCUAGUCCCUUUGCUUGAACCAACUUGGCCUGGUAUGUUCUUUAAACCCUCACCCCGCGCACCCCUCCGUGCCGCCCCACCCCAGGUGCUUACGUACGGCCAAGUAAACGCCGCACACGCACAACCACGCACAACCUAGAUAGCUACCCACCGCAAGCCCCUGGUAGUCCAUGGUGCUGCCGCCGCCGCCUGCGCCUUGCCUUUCCGCGCAUCCGGCGCCAACCCAUCACCUAAUAGGAGGCGCUGACUGUGACUUCCUCAGUGGGCUCGGCAUUUGUGGUGGUCAGUGAGAUACGCCCAUUUUGCUGCGGGGCAAUAGGGCCUCUCGCUGGCGGUAGCUUAGAAGGUUUCGACGGGACAUUACGAAGCCGUCGAUGCGCCUCUGGUCUGAGCUUAGCGAAGCUGCUUGCAGUUGGGCACGGCCAUCACCUCAAAGGAAGCGCUGACAGUGACUUCCUCAGUUGGCUCGGCGUUUGUCGCGGCCAACCAGUGGGCCACAAGCGUGCAGCUAACCGCGCAUGCUAAAGUCUCGUCCGCAACCUUGCAUGCGUACAGAUCACUGCCAGUGUGGUUGCGGCCGUGACUUGAGCAUGUGCGGUUAGCUGCACGCUUGUGGCCCACUGGUUGGUUACGACAAACGCCGAGCCAACGGAGGAAGUCACAGUCAGCGCCCAGGUAAUGGGCCGGGCCCAGCUGCAAGCAAGAGGCUCAGACCAGAGGCGCAUCGACGGCUUCAUAACAUCCCGUCGAUCUGGCGGCCACCUUCAGCUUCUGCUCGUGCACCGCUGCGCAAUUGAAUAUUCAGAGGCGUAGGUGUAUUACAGGGAAGCACAUGUUGAAGGAGCGCACAAGCUGUGAGGUGUAUGCGGAGAUGUGGAGCGGGACAAAGGACGGGGCUAGGGGUCGGGAAGGGCCGUCUGUAAUAGCCGUUCGCGCUGCACCGAGUGCACACCUGUUGAGCCCGCGCACCAUGCAAGCUGACCUUGCAAGCGGCCCUGGCUUGGCCCCAACCUCUCAACCCAGCCCACACAGAUCCCCAGAAACCAACCUGGAACCACCCUCGCAUGCGUGCAUAUCACUGCCAGCGUUUCCCUGCUGGGACCCCCAGGAGAUCGCGCUCCUCUGACGUGCUCCCCGCUGCCAACCGUGUGGCGCCAUGGCUAAACUUACCGCGACAGCAGCUGCCAGCUGGCAGGCGCCUUGAGGCUCCUGCAGUUGCAAGAAAGCGUUCCGUCGGUGACCACUCAAGCCGCCCUGUUGCACAUCUUCCCACCCUUCAAGCAUGAGAUUAUUGACCUGCUCACCUAGCGUUGUGGCGGCGUUGGCACGCGCCGCAGAAGCUCGUCCAGCGCCAUCUUCAUCGCGGCCAUGUCGGUCUUCACGCCGGCAAUCCCAGUCUUCAAGCCCUUCACGUCAGCUUUGACGUCGGCAACCGCAGUCUUCAAGCCCCUCACGUCAGCUUUGACCUCGGCCAUCUCAGCCUUCACAGUUGCUGACGAGACUUCAGCAUGCGAGGUUAGCUGCACGCUUGUGGCCCACUGGUUGGUCACCACAAAGGCCAAGCCAACUGAGGUAGUCGCUGCGAGCACUUCCUUCAGGGUGAUGGGCCGGGCCCGGCUGCAAGCAGCUUCGCUAAGCUCAGUCAAGAGGCGCAUCGACGGCUUCAUAAUGCCCCGUCGAUGUCAGGAAAUUCCUGAAGCUACCGCGAGCGAGAGGCCCUAUUGCCCCGUCUGGCAGUCACAAAAAAAUGCAGCAAAAUUGGCGUAUCUCGCUGAGCUUGACAGCACGUUGUGUUCUCACACUACAAAAAGGGAUUUGCAAUGUUGUUAGCUGCCCUGGUUAGCGCCUACACGGCAAGCCCGCUCCCGGCUCCGUGCGCAUGACUGGCAUGGAGGGCCGAGCGCGCGCGCAGUUUUUCAAGCCAAACAGCCCGCUCUUCCGUUAGCUUACAUCUAGCUACCUAUUAGCUCGCGCCGCACAAGGCCCCGCAGCGCGAGGCUCGGGCCCGUCCCUAUGUGCAACAUCUCGCGCUUGCAAGCUGCCAGUUCAGCAGGCGCGUGCAAGCGCGUCCCACUCCAGGAAAAAGCGUGUCCCAAGGGACGCGCCCACUCGACGGCACCAAAACCCCCUGGACGAUUGUCCCUCAAGGAUGCCACCACGUCUAUGGACUCCUCUCAAUCUCUCAUCUGCUACUGCUACUCGCACACACUGCUGCUCUGCUCACCUUCUUAGCAUCCCCAUAAGAACAC